UAGUGGCGAACGGGUGAGUAACGCGUUGGUGACCUGCCCCAAAGUGUGGGAUAACAGUCCGAAAGGAUUGCUAAUACCGCAUGUGAUUCCCGGGUUUAGAAGCCGGUAACUAAAGCAGCAAUGCGCUUUGGGAGGGACCUGCGUCCCAUCAGCUAGUUGGUGAGGUAACGGCCCAUCAAGGCUACGACGGGUAGGGGACCUGAGAGGGUGGCCCCCCACAAUGGAACUGAAACACGGUCCAUACACCUACGGGUGGCAGCAGUAGGGAAUAUUGCACAAUGGGCGAAAGCCUGAUGCAGCAACGCCGCGUGCGCGAAGAAGGUCUUCGGAUCGUAAAGCGCUUUUCUGGGAGAUGAGAAAGGACAGUAUCCCAGGAAUAAGUCUCGGCUAACUACGUGCCAGCAGCCGCGGUAACACGUAGGAGGCGAGCGUUAUCCGGAUUCACUGGGCGUAAAGCGCGUGCAGGCGGUUCGGUAAGUUGGGCGUGAAAUCUCCCGGCUCAACUGGGAGAGGUCGUCCAAUACUACCGAACUUGAGAGCGAUAGAGGAAAAUGGAAUUCCCGGUGUAGUGGUGAAAUGCGUAGAUAUCGGGAGGAACACCAGUGGCGAAAGCGAUUUUCUGGAUCGUUUCUGACGCUCAGACGCGAAAGCUAGGGUAGCAAACGGGAGUUAGAGACCCCGGUAGUCCUAGCCCGUAAACGAUGUGAACUUGGCGUCGGUGGCUUAAACUCCAUCGGUGCCGAAGCCAACGCGAUAAGUUCACCGCCUGGGGACUACGGCCGCAAGGUUAAAACUCAAAGGAAUUGACGGGGGCCCGCACAAGCAGCGGAGGGUGUGGUUUAAUUCGAUGCUACACGAAGAACCUUACCCGGGUUUGACAUACAGGUGGUAGGGAUCCGAAAGGUGACCGACC
rnacentral:rRNA from 1 species